CCCUGAUCUGCCUCGUUGACAGUCUCAGCCAAUCCUAUGGGGAAGCAUUGUAAUUUGUGCAGACCACCACUUCUGAUGAUGUCAAUACAAGUAAAAGUUUACUAUAUUUAGGGAGGCAAGAGGAGGCCAGGGGGGCUAAAUUGUGGUUUUAACAUUAUAAGGUCAGAAAUACAUGAUUGUGUUCCUGACCCUCUAGUGUUCCUUUAAGCAAGAGUAUGUGAAGAGUAGUUAGGGUUGCCACCUUUCUUGGAAAAAAAUACCAGCCUUAUACAUUUGAAUAAUUAAUUAGUUAUGUGUGACAUCACAUGAUGUAAAUCACAAGGAGUGACAUAAGAGAAAAUUCUGUAAAAUCACCAACAAACUACUCACAGUUUGAUUCUGCUGUAUAGAUGGAUUGCUCCCAGUGUCUCCCUGUCUCCCAGUGUCUCAGUCUCGCAAGUCACCC